rnacentral:ncRNA from 12 species
UUAAAUUACCAGAUGACAACUUCAUCGUUCGGUAGAUAGUUAUGUAGUGAUUAGAGAAAUUAAGUGUAUGUUAAGUACACCACCAUAACUGGGAAGAGAGCUUUAAGCUCUCUUUUCUUUUUUAU